rnacentral:rRNA from 1 species
AUUGAACGCUGGCGGCAGGCCUAACACAUGCAAGUCGAGCGGAUGACGGGAGCUUGCUCCUUGAUUCAGCGGCGGACGGGUGAGUAAUGCCUAGGAAUCUGCCUGGUAGUGGGGGACAACGUUUCGAAAGGAACGCUAAUACCGAAUACGUGCUACGGGAGAAAGCAGGGGACCUUCGGGCGUUGCGCUAUCAGAUGAGCGUAGGUCGGAUUAGCUAGUAGGUGGGGUAAUGGCGCACCUCGGCGACGAUCCGUAACUGGUCUGAGGGGAUGAUCAGUCACACUGGAACUGAGACACGGUCCAGCCUCCUACGGGAGGCAGCAGUGGGGAAGCUUGGACAAUGGGCGAAAGCCUGAUCCGGCCAUGCCGCGUGUGUGAAGAAGGUCUUCGGAUUGUAAAGCACUUUAAGUUGGGAGGAAGGGCAGUAAGCUAAUACCUUGCUGUUUUGACGUUACCGACAGAAUAAGCACCGGCUAACUCUGUGCCAGCCGCCGCUGUAACAC